UCCAGCUUUACUGAGGUAGAACUGACAUGUGACAUUGCGAACAUUGGAGACAUGCGGAAACUGGAUGACUGGUUUACAUGUGGAUUGAAUUGAAGGAACUGAGAAUUAAAGAAAGGCUUACAGCGAGGUCAAACCCAUCCCAGUUGUCCAAACAGUACAUUCUGAAUAAAUAUUCUGGUGGUUACCAA